rnacentral:rRNA from 1 species
GAUCCUGGCUCAGGAUGAACGCUAGCUACAGGCUUAACACAUGCAAGUCGAGGGGCAGCGGGAUUGAAGCUUGCUUCAAUUGCCGGCGACCGGCGCACGGGUGAGUAACGCGUAUCCAACCUUCCGUACACUCAGGGAUAGCCUUUCGAAAGAAAGAUUAAUACCUGAUGGUAUGAUGAGAUUGCAUGAUAGCAUCAUUAAAGAUUUAUCGGUGUACGACGGGGAUGCG